rnacentral:lncRNA from 1 species
UGGGUAGAAGAGCAGCAUGAGCCACUGAAGGAUGGGCGUCGUCGUUGUCCUUGACCUUUAACGUAGUUCUUCUUCACAACAGACGCCCUCUCCCACAACUCUUGAUCGAUAGACGGACGUGGAGUGCCUUCAGGAUAGCGCUCAUUCAAUAAACGCUUAUAAGUGUCCUGCAUGUCAUCAUGUUAACAAUUAAAUAGUUAAAAAUAAAUUAAUUUUGUAAGCAUUAAUUAAAGAUCAAGUUGUUAAAAUUUAUUACCGCUAUCUGGAUAGCCUCAGGCAGACCAUCACGGGUGGCCACGUACACAUCCAGCCAAUGGAUAGGCUGACCUUGAGACUGAGACUCCUAUACAAAAAUAACACAAUAUUACUAAGUAAAAAUGGGAUAUAUUUUCUACAAUUCAUGAUUGAAAACAUAUUAAAACUUGUAAAUACGUACCCUGGCAGUGAUAUACUGCAACUGUGAAAUACUGCCGCCCUUGUAUGUUCCUUUAGACUUUUCGCCAUCGGAUACACCCGAGGCUCUGUUGGUGGCGGCAGUCUUUCGUCUUUUC